UACACUCCUGCGGGAGGCAGCAGUGGGGAAUUUUGGACAAUGGGCGAAAGCCUGAUCCAGCCAUGCCGCGUGCAGGAUGAAGGCCUUCGGGUUGUAAACUGCUUUUGUACGGAACGAAACGGCCUUUUCUAAUAAAGAGGGCUAAUGACGGCACCGUAAGAAUAAGCACCGGCUAACUACGUGCCAGCAGCCGCGGUAAUACGUAGGGUGCAAGCGUUAAUCGGAAUUACUGGGCGUAAAGCGUGCGCAGGCGGUUAUGUAAGACAGUUGUGAAAUCCCCGGGCUCAACCUGGGAACUGCAUCUGUGACUGCAUAGCUAGAGUACGGUAGAGGGGGAUGGAAUUCCGCGUGUAGCAGUGAAAUGCGUAGAUAUGCGGAGGAACACCGAUGGCGAAGGCAAUCCCCUGGACCUGUACUGACGCUCAUGCACGAAAGCGUGGGGAGCAAACAGGAUUAGAAACCCCAGUAGUCCCAUGA
rnacentral:rRNA from 1 species